rnacentral:rRNA from 1 species
CCUACGGGUGGCAGCAGUGGGGAAUAUUGCACAAUGGGGGAAACCCUGAUGCAGCGACGCCGCGUGAGUGAAGAAGUAUUUCGGUACGUAAAGCUCUAUCAGCAGGGAAGAAAAUGACGGUACCUGACUAAGAAGCCCCGGCUAACUACGUGCCAGCAGCCGCGGUAAUACGUAGGGGGCAAGCGUUAUCCGGAUUUACUGGGGGUCAAGGGAGCGUAGACGGCAGCGCAAGUCGGGAGUGCAAUCCCCUGGCUUAACCCUGGAACUGCUUUGGAAACUGUGCAGCUGGAGUGCAGGAGAGGUCAGCGGACUUCCUAGUGUAGCGGUGAACUGCGUCGAUAUUAGGAGGAACACCAGUGGCGACGGCGGCUUACUGGACUGUACCUGACGUUGAGGCUCGACAGCGUGGGGAGCAAACAGGAUUAGCUACCCUGGUAGUC